CUCCAUUCCACCCUGCAAGCCCCACACAUGGUCACUUGCAAUGCCAAAGCCCGUGGCUCUCGGAGCGACUGGUGGGGUAGAGAGCAACUCUUCAGUGCACACCCUUAGGAAUGGAUGGAGAGAUGCUUUUGACAAGAGGGCUGCAUGGCUGAGACUGGGUUUCAGGAGGCCUGAGCUGUCUGUUUUGUACUGAAAUAUAUAGCUUCUAAUAUGUUCAGCCCUGGGGCACCCCUUCUGGAGAGCCAGGAGCAGAGGAACCGCUAGACUAAAGCGACGAGCUGCUUCCCUGAUGGCUGGGCUCACCUGGCGGUGGUGGUGGUGAGGGAACGCUGUGGUUUGCUCUAGAUCUGUAACUGGGAAGCUUGGGGACAAGUGUUUAUGUUCAGAGGCUUAAAGACACCCUCCCUUUAGAUCCUAAAUUACCUAAAUUAUCCUGCCCAGUGUUAAAGAUAUUAACUCA